GUGGGGAAUAUUGGACAAUGGGCGCAAGCCUGAUCCAGCCAUGCCGCGUGAGUGAUGAAGGCCCUAGGGUUGUAAAGCUCUUUCACCGGAGAAGAUAAUGACGGUAUCCGGAGAAGAAGCCCCGGCUAACUUCGUGCCAGCAGCCGCGGUAAUACGAAGGGGGCUAGCGUUGUUCGGAAUUACUGGGCGUAAAGCGCACGUAGGCGGAUAUUUAAGUCAGGGGUGAAAUCCCGGAGCACAACUCCGGAACUGCCUUUGAUACUGGGUAUCUCGAGUAUGGAAGAGGUGAGUGGGAUGCCGAGUGUAGAGGUGAAAUACGUAGAUAUUCGGAGGAACACCAGUGGCGAAGGCGGCUCGCUGGUCCAUUACUGACGCUGAGGUGCGAAAGCGUGGGGAGCAAACAGGAUUAGAUACCCGGGUAGUCC
rnacentral:rRNA from 1 species